GGGACAGAACAGACAGCCGGAGGGGCUGCGUCUCAAACAAUUUCAGCUCACUUUGCCAGACCGCCUCUGUCCGUGCCCCUGGAUGGAAAGAGUGGGUAAGCUGCUCCGGACAAGGAAUAAACAGGAGUGUUAUGUAGAAGAGUGUACUUGCGCUACAGAUGAAGUAAACCUGUGACAGCUCCACGUCCAAGCAGAAGCAUUCAGGAUAAUUCUGAUUCAUUGAAUUCAGCACACCAAGUCUGCGGCAUCUCAGGUUUGGUGGACUUCUGCUGAACUCAAGGUAGAACUCUGCUGAAGCCUUUCCACAGCUACUGCAGACAGCUGAGAGCAAAAGACCUCUGAGUUUUGUGGCUGUGCAUCAGAGCCACCAGCUGAGAUGAUUAAAGACAGUGUACAUGUUUACACAGAGCAGAGAGGCGCUGGAACUGCAGGCAGCACCACGGCCUCAGCGCAGCACGGUGCCAAUCAGCACACUAGCUAGUGUGCACACUUCCAAAGAGCCACCCACAUUAGUGCAGCUGGACUGACAGCAGUGCUCUGUGAAGAUGAAGCAUAGAUACAUCAGCCCGGUGGGCUGCAAGGUAAUACUGCAUUUAAAACAUACAGAGGUCAACUGGAACUAAAAAGUUCUCAGACGUCAGCAAAAGAAGAGCAACCUAUACUUCAGAAGGACACAACUAGCUUCAGCAUUAAAGAAUUUUUCUGAGCAACAUGUGGAACAGAGCUUCCAUACAUGGUUCAACCAAAGCCAACAAAGUGGCUUGGGACCAUGUGUCCGAUUCUAAUUCGCCUGCAUUUCCUUCAGAUUUUUGUAGAAACUGAAGUUUCAGAUACAAGGAAAAAUAGAAGAAAGUUUUUUUAUGCCUUAACCGCUUGAGGAGAGCAGACAACUUCAUUGGAUGAGAAGGAUGACUACUGCGGAAUCUGGCAACAAAUUUCAAGAUCCAGCUAUUUGUAACACUGUUUGAGUAAAAGUACAGUAUUAAAUAAAUAAGAU
rnacentral:lncRNA from 7 species